UACGUAGGGUGCAAGCGUUAAUCGGAAUUACUGGGCGUAAAGCGUGCGCAGGCGGUUUUGUAAGUCUGUCGUGAAAUCCCCGGGCUCAACCUGGAAAUUGCGAUGGAGACUGCAAGGCUAGAAUCUGGCAGAGGGGGGUAGAAUUCCACGUGUGAGCAGUGAAAUGCGUAGAGAUAGUGGAGGAACGACCGAUGGCGAAGGCGGCAUCC
rnacentral:rRNA from 1 species